CCUCUUUGCGCAGGCGGAAAAAGGCACUAUAUGAACGGGGUCGGGUUCUACCCGGCUAUGGCGAUAAAUUGCGGCGUAGAAUAGACGCAGCGGACCCGGGGGCGGUACCCGGCGGCUCCACCAUCGACGCUGGACCUGUUGCAGCGACGUUGACGGGGCCGAACUAGGAUCGACGUGUGUUGAAAGGCGCUGUUUUCGCUCGGAAUGGGACCACCGCAACGGCCCAUUACACAAGUGCCAACGAUAACGAAGCACUCGCGAUUGCGGCGUAACUGACGGCCUAACGGCCUGACGUUACACCAAAAUAGCGCGGUUGGACCCCACCGGGCAACAGAAGGGGAAUCCAGCGGUACGGGGAGCACCGGGCAACAGAAGCUCCCCACU
rnacentral:tmRNA from 1 species